rnacentral:rRNA from 1 species
UACGUAGGGGGCAAGGGUUGUCCGGAAUCAUUGGGCGUAAAGAGCGUGUAGGCGGCUCGGUAAGUCCGCUGUGAAAGUCCAGGGCUCAACCCUGGAAAGCCGGUGGAAACUGUCGAGCUUGAGUCCGGAAGAGGCGAGUGGAAUUCCUGGUGUAGCGGUGAAACGCGCAGAUAUCAGGAGGAACACCAAUGGCGAAGGCAGCUCGCUGGGACGGUACUGACGCUGAGACGCGAAAGCGUGGGGAGCAAACAGG